rnacentral:rRNA from 1 species
AUUGAACGCUGGCGGCAGGCCUAACACAUGCAAGUCGAGCGGAGCGGCGGACGGGUGAGUAAUGCCUAGGUAUCUGCCUGGUCGUGGGGGAUAACGUACGGAAACGGGCGCUAAUUACGCAUACUUUCAGUUGAGCCUAGGUGGGUUUAGCUAGUUGGUGGGGUAAAGGCCUACCCAGGCGACGAUCCGUACCUGGUCUGAGAGGAUGAUCAGUCACACUGGAACUGAGACACGGUCCAGACUCCGACGGGAGGCAGCAGUGGGGAAUAUUGGACAAUGGGCGAAAGCCUGAUACAGCCAUGCCGCGUGUGUGAAGAAGGCCUUCGGAUUGUAAAGCACUGUAAGUAGGGAGGCGUUACCUACAGAAAAAGCACCGGCUAACUACGUGCCAGCAGCCGCGGUAAUUC